AUUGAACGCUGGCGGCAGGCCUAACACAUGCAAGUCGAACGAGUGGCGGACGGGUGAGUAAUGUCUGGGAAACUGCCCGAUGGCGGGGGAUAACUACUGGAAACGGUAGCUAAUACCGCAUACCAUCGGAUGUGCCCAGAUGGUAUUAGCUAGUAGGUGGGGUAACGGCUAACCAAGGCGACGAUCCCUAGCUGGUCUGAGAGGAUGACCAGCCACACUGGAACUGAGACACGGUCCAGACUCCUACGGGAGGCAGCAGUGGGGAAUAUUGCGCAAUGGGCGCAAGCCUGAUGCAGCCAUGCCGCGUGAAUGAAGAAGGCCUUCGGGUUGUAAAGUACUUUUAGCGGGGAAGCGUUACUCGCAGAGGAAGCACCGGCUAACUCCGUGCCAGCAGCCGCGGUAAUAC
rnacentral:rRNA from 1 species